AACCUGCCUUGGAGUGGGGAAGUAACAGCUGGAAACAGCUGCUAAUACCGCAUAAUAUAUCUGGGCCGCAUGGCUCUGGAUAUCAAAGAUUUAUCGCUCUGAGAUGGACUCGCGUCUGAUUAGCUGGUUGGCGGGGUAACGGCCCACCAAGGCGACGAUCAGUAGCCGGACUGAGAGGUUGGCCGGCCACAUUGGGACUGAGACACGGCCCAGACUCCUACGGGAGGCAGCAG
rnacentral:rRNA from 1 species